UGGUGGAGUGAUUUGUCUGCUUAAUUGCGUUAACGAACGAGACCUCAGCCUGCUAAAUAGUUAUGCGAACCGUCUACUCGGGUGAACGGGGCUGGACAGUCUGGGCCU
rnacentral:rRNA from 1 species